UAACCUGUUGAAGAGUGAAUAAGAAGGUUAGGAAAUAGAGACAGCACAUAUAGGCAACAUGAGAGAAGUUUUGCUGUGAGGGAGAAAAGAAUUUUAGGGAUAACUAUAGAAGGAUAUGGGGUCAAGGGAGGAGAUGUUUUAAAAAAUGGUGGGUUCUAGAGCAUGUUUAUGUGCCAUUGGGAGUGAUACAUGAGGAAGAAGUCUUGCUUGACAUAUAGGAGUGAAAUCUAUGGAUGGAUUUAAGGAAAUGUGGAGGAUUGACCUUUGAUAGGAAUAGGAUGCUUCUACCGUGAUUAGGGUAACAAAGUGAAAAUGGAUGCAUGGGAGAGGGAAAGCAAGCUUACAGCUUUGCUAGUUAGGACUGCUUUGGCAGCACUGGGUACCCACUUGAAGUUUGUGAUUAUGAGUCUAAAGUUAAAGCAGUUGGCCCAGUAUGUGGUUUUUCUACAGUAACGUUCAGCUCCUUGAGUACACACAUGAAGAAAAAGGAUAAUUUGGUUUCUGAACACUAGGACCCAAGUUUUCUGAUGCCCAAUCUCAGGUACUUUCCUUAUGUGAUUAGCUACUAUUCUACACAUGAAGAAAAAGGAUAAUUUGGUUUCUCAACACUAGGACCCAAGUUUUCUGAUGCCUAACCUCAGGACUCAGGCAUAAAGAAGAGGCAAACUUAGAGGAAAAUUACCAAGCAGAUACCUCUGGAAUAUUUGCAUUUUGCAUUUUCUUCAGUCCUCUACCCUAAACAUCUUCUGGUAUACUUGGGAACUAUGUACUAGAAACAAUAAAGCUGACUGGUGCUUAGCUUCUUUGUCUUCCUAGUACCUUUAAUAAACUGAUUAAAUCAC